rnacentral:rRNA from 1 species
AGCGAACGCUAGCGGGCGGCUUAACACAUGCAAGUCGAGCGCCUGGUUUCGGCCAGGAGCGGCGGACGGGUGAGUAACACGUAGGUAUCUGCCUCCGGGUGGGAAUAACUGAGGGAAACUUCAGCUAAUACCGCAUAUGGUCUACGGAUCAAAGCCUUCGGGCGCCUGGAGAUGAGCCUGCGGCCCAUUAUUUAAUCCUAGUUGGCGGGGUAAUGGCCCACCAAGGGUACGAUGGGUAGCUGGUCUGAGAGGAUGAUCAGCCACACUGGAACUGAGACACGGUCCAGACUCCUACGGGAGGCAGCAGUGGGGAAUAUUGCGCAAUGGGGGGAAACCCUGACGCAGCCAGCCCGCGUGGGUGAUGAAGGCCUUCGGGUCGUAAAGCCCUGUCGGUGGGGAAGAAACCAAUGACGGUACCCGCCCAAGAAAGACACCGGCUAACUCCGUGCCAGCAGCCGCGGUAAU